CCUGAGACCUCAUAUCACCUCAAACUCAUAUACUGGGUUUGUGGAAGGGAGCAGAUAACCUCUCUGUUUCCAGGUCUUCAGACUAAGAGGAACUGGACACCAGGAGCCUCAUUCCAGGACUGCCCAGCCGAGCCACUCGAUUCCUGACCCACAUGGCCCUUGAGAUGAUGACAAGUGAUUGCUGCUUAAAGCCACUGAGUUCUGGAGUAAUUUACAUCACGGCAGUAGCAGGGUUUCUAAGAAUGUGAAGGCACCAUCCGUGCUGCCCCUCAGCUUCAGAGGAGUACCAAUGCAGACAACAGCUUAUCCUUGAAGGGAGACAUGGAAUUUCCAAGGGCCUUACCUGGCAGAGAGCGGAUGAAUUCGUAGACAUCUUCUACGUUCCACUUGGUGGGCUCACUUGGCAGGAAGUGGUGUCCCAUGCCCACCAGGUCCCGCAUAUGCAUGUCGGGGAGCUCCAGGUCCCGCUGGCCUUGUCGCCGGCGGGAAGUAGAUGAGCUGGCUGAGAUGGGUGACAAGGGUUCCUCAUAGCUUGAGUUAUCUGAGCAACGGCUGGAGUCUUCCUGGCUGUGUGUUAGCUGCAAAGCAGCAGUAACCGAAAGGGGCACAGUGCCUGUUGGCUGGGAGCAGAGAGUUUUCUUCAGGAUGGGGGAACAAACCAUCUCUAGCAGCAGUGAUGGACAAAGGAGGUAUUUCUCCUUUUUCUACUUGGCCUACUACUACGUGUCUGAAUUCCCAGAUCUAACAGCAUCUUCCAUGCUGUCCUGUCUCCUACCCUAGGCAGAGUUAGUCCCUCUCAGUAUUGUAGUGUGUACCACACAAUACUGCAAUUAUCUUUUUUCUUUUUUUUUUUUUGAGACAGAGUCUCGCUGUUGCCCAGGCUGGAGUGCAGUGGCACGAUCUCGGCUCACUGCAGGCUCCGCCCCGCCGGGGUUCACGCCAUUCUCCUGCCUCAGCCUCCCAAGUAGCUGGGACUACAGGCGCCCGCCACCUCGCCCGGCUAAUUUUUUGUAUUUUUAGUAGAGACGGGGUUUCACUGUGUUAUCCAGAUGGUCUCGAUCUCCUGACCUCGUGAUUCGCCCGCCUCGGCCUCCCAAAGUGCUGGGAUUACAGGCGUGAGGCACUGCACCCGGCCGCAAUUAAUUAUCUAUCUUUUUCUAAACGUGAGUUUUAAAGCAGGGCUCUGAGUUCUAGGAGGUGAUCACAGAGCCACUUGAAAUGGCAUGUAAAAUUUCUUCUGUAUGUACAUUUUGGACCAUAACUUUGGACCAUUCUUACGGAGGUUUAAGACAAAAACAACAGGCAAAAUUAUACAUAAGGUUAUGAAACAUCA